rnacentral:tRNA from 1 species
GAGGGUAUAGCUCAAUUGUUAGAGUACUUGUUUAGCAUGCAUGAGGCCCGGGUUCAAUACUCAUUACCUCCA